rnacentral:rRNA from 1 species
GUUCAGAUUGCAGGCUGCAACCCGCCUGCAUGAAGUCGGAAUUGCUAGUAAUCGCGGAUCAGCAUGCCGCGGUGAAUACGUUCCCGGGCCUUGUACACACCGCCCGUCACACCAUGGGAGCCGGUAAUACCCGAAGUCAGUAGUCCAACCACGUGAGGACGCUGCCGAAGGUAGGAUUGGCGACUGGGGUGAAGUCGUAACAAGGUACC